UGAGGCCCCAGGUCAG
rnacentral:rRNA from 2 species